GGCAUAGGGAAUGUGUAAAGUGAUCCACUGGGUUUUUUCAAUUCAGGUCCCUUGACAUCACUGUGUCGAUGCAUAUCUUGCAUCUGUCGCUUGAAGACUUCCCAUCUGUAAAACAUAAAUCAGAAACACAUAAUGAUUAAAUGAUGAUCUUUCCCAGGGUGAUCAAUAAUAAAAACUAAAGGCAGCUUAUUCAGUGCACAUGGGCUCUCAAGCGUUUGAUCAAGCAUAUUCACCUGGUCGGACAGUUUUUAACUUGUGCAUGGAGAGCACAAGCACAUUUGAGUCAUUUUCCCAGAAAAAAUAUCAAGUAAGUUUAUUUCAUAACCAUCAAGCCCAUGUAAUUUGUUGUAGAGUUUAGUAUAACAGGAUGGUUGUGCUUCGAUCACAGAACAAUUUAGCUUCACAUGCGAAGAAAAUAUAAAAAAAAUAAAGCCUGUUGCAGACAAGCGUCUAAGAGAAAAGCAGGAAUGAAGUAGAAAAGCAGGAAGAUGCAUAAAAAAGAUACCAACUUCACAAAUAAGAGUGUAAUAUUAAUGCCCCUACAUUUCAAAUAAUUAAAAUUUAUGUUUCUGAUUGGGUUUAUACAUAUUAGUACAAAGAGUGAAUAUGUACAAGCAUCUAGACUUGGCCAGGGUCCCCCCUCCCCAGGUGGUUACAGCUCCUCUAUCCUAAAACCUGAACCAGACAGGAACCGGUGGUCAAGUUCAGCUCGACAUGUGAUUUUCUGAAAAAAAUGAAAAAAAAUUUCAAACCAUUGGAUUGCCUCAAUCCGGAUUGAAUUGGAACCAGAACUACUUUUGAACCAAGUCAGAGCUAAGGGACCAAGACCAUGGGAAACUGGCCCCUUCGGUCCAGUUAAGGCCUAAGGGUUACCCCUAGCCACGAACUGGAAAUGCUGGUCAUGCAUUGGAAAUGCUGGUCAUGCAUGUCAAUUGUCUAGCAUUUGGCAUGUCAAGAACCUAACAGGCAAGAAGAAAGGGUUACAAACCAUCACUGUAUGGUGAAUUGACGUUCUACCAACUACCAAUGAUUAGGAGCAUAUAUCUAGCAAAAAUUAAAAGCUGCAACUUGCAAGGACUUGCCGUUCACAAAACACCAGGAACAACCUCAAAAAUAAAUUAAAACUACCAAUCUUUCUCAAGUACUCUGAAAAAAGAUGGUAGAUUUUGACAAAAAAAACAACUGGAGAUGACUUUCAUUUAUAGAAGUUAGUCAUUAAAGAGUAAUGAUAUAGCUAAACGUGACCUGAGUGAUUAAGAUUCAUCCCAAGUCAGCAACACCUGACAGGUAAUCGCACAUUGCUUAGUCUUGAGCUUGGCCUACAGACAAAUCACCGAGCAUGGGCGUUCCAAAUGAACUAACAAUAGUUUGUUCGGAAUGCUCUUGAUUCAUACAGCUAUAUUCAGAUCCUUCAUAAUGUGGCCAACGGCCGGUAACAUCUGAGAUCAUUAUGACAUUAGAACCAAAUUGUAUGGGACAUGCUAAGACUUAAUGACAAGGAAAUGGCUCUUAGGCAGUCUAUUUGAAGGACAUAUUUUCCUCUUUACAAGGCACGCAAUUCUUCUAAAAAACUUCAUGAAAACUCUCAUCUGAUAUCAAUCAUUUUCCUUCUUUAUUGUUGGAGUGGUUGCCAAAGGCCAACUGAACUCACUCUGAUUCUUAGCAGGACACUGGCAACAGCUCAAGAACUUGCGGCAGCAUAAAAGUAAUAUGAUGUCGUAACAAUAAUGAAAGGCAUAACCAUGAGUGUGACUCUUUUGUCCACCUCUCCUCCCUUCCAAUUCAAAAUUAUAAUCCCAAUUCUUUUUCCUUUUUUUCUGGCCAAUAAUAUGUCUGUCACUUGCACAAUGCACUAAAAAGAGUCUUAAGACCCCAUAAAAGCCACAUACUGCAACUUUUAUUAAAUUGACCAACAUCUUUUAGACUUGUGUACUUAAAAUCUUUCAACAUGAUUAAGGUAUCCAUGAUAUAACAGUACUAAAACACCCACAAUGAGAUGACAUAACGACCAUCAGAUAUAUUAUAAAAUUUCCAACAGGUUUUGUUUUUUUUAUAGAAAUUUCAUAUUUUUUACUUGGGCAUCAGUACGCGCAACCUCGUAUGGUGUAAUAAGAGAAGAAAAUGCAAGCACUAUCUGCAAGGAAGAUGGUAAACAAGUAGAUUUAAAAUGUGAAUCUGUCACAAUCCCAAUGUCCCACAAUGGUUGUAAGGCUGGGUAUACAAAGCCUUGGGCUCUCUGCCCUUAUCAGAGAGGUUUUAGGGGUAAGUUAUUGCAAGGUAUUUAACAGAAUCCAAUCAAUUGUAAGCUUGAUGUUUAAAAAAAAAACCAUACAAGGGCACAUCUUUUUCUUCAAUUUCAGCUCCACAAAGCACGGAGUGCUGCAGAAUUCAAGAAAAAAAACUUUGAAGUAAAAGAAAAAAGAUUUAAUUGCACUAUACCUGAUAUUGGGCUUAUCAAAUA
rnacentral:misc_RNA from 1 species